GAGCAAGACAGAGGGAGACUCCAUCUUAAAAAAAAAAAUAAAAAAAGUGGAGAAGGAGAGAAGGGGUCAGGGAGGCAGCCAGGAGGGAAGAGUGAAGUAAGAAGCAGAUGAAGAGAAGCAGGGUGGGCACACACCCAGAGCCCCCCUGUGUCACCCGCCUGCUACCAGACCCAGGAGGGUCCCGUCGGGGUGGGGGUCCUGGGACUUAACUCCUCCUCCAGCCUCAGCCCUCCCGGUGCCAAGAUUCUUCAACGUCCUCGGGAUGCACCUCCGCACUGUGGGGCCAUCUGGGUCAGCCCGGACGCACCGGCCUCUGUCUGGGUCCCAGUCUUCUCACCGCCAGGCGGGCAGGUGAGGCCUCGGUCAUUCCAGGUGCAGCCUCGGAUCAGGGAUGACGGCCCAGGCUGAAGUAUCAUGAUGAAGAGCUUGGACCGAGGGCAGUUAAGGUGUGUGAGUAUUCAGAUCCCCCACGUGCCCUUCUCUGGAAGGUGCCAGCGACCUGUCCUCUCUGGGCCUCUGUCUUCUCCUCUGUGGAAUGGGAAUGAUGGCGUCCGCACCUCAUAGGGCUGCUGGAAAAUGGGUCUGGGUCUCGGCUGGAAUUUCAGCCAGCGCCGAGGACCAGAGGCCCUGGUUCCUGUCCACGUGGCCUGGGACCCCCGCGGCCCCGCACCUGGGCUCCGGGGGCAAGUGUGUUCGCUUUGAGGACCCAGCCUUGGAGGUCAGAUGGCAUCCGUUAUGGGUUAAAUUUUGUCCCCCUAAAUUCAUAUGUUGAAGU
rnacentral:lncRNA from 1 species